AGUGAACGCUGGCGGUAGGCCUAACACAUGCAAGUCGAACGGCAGCACAGUAAGAGCUUGCUCUUACGGGUGGCGAGUGGCGGACGGGUGAGGAAUACAUCGGAAUCUACUUUUUCGUGGGGGAUAACGUAGGGAAACUUACGCUAAUACCGCAUACGACCUACGGGUGAAAGCAGGGGAUCUUCGGACCUUGCGCGAUUGAAUGAGCCGAUGUCGGAUUAGCUAGUUGGCGGGGUAAAGGCCCACCAAGGCGACGAUCCGUAGCUGGUCUGAGAGGAUGAUCAGCCACACUGGAACUGAGACACGGUCCAGACUCCUACGGGAGGCAGCAGUGGGGAAUAUUGGACAAUGGGCGCAAGCCUGAUCCAGCCAUACCGCGUGGGUGAAGAAGGCCUUAGGGUUGUAAAGCCCUUUUGUUGGGAAAGAAAAGCAGCAGGUUAAUACCCCGCUGUUCUGACGGUACCCAAAGAAUAAGCACCGGCUAACUUCG
rnacentral:rRNA from 1 species